UGUUCAUGGACUUUAACACAGAGGAAACCAUCUUGUAAUAAAGACGCUGAGUCGACAUGAUAACAUGUGAUCAUGGUUGUUUUCUUGGUUGUGAACCAGGUCACCACAGAAGCCACCGACAUCGCAGCCACUCCAAGUCUCCAGAGAGGAGUUCAAAAAAGAGUCACAAGAAGAGCCGGAGAAACGAGUGACCUCGUUUUUUAUUUAAUAUCUUUUUCUUUUUCCCUCGGAGCCUCGUAUGAAACGUGACUUCUGUUUUUAUGGUCGUGUCGUUCUGAGUCUGUGUGAAGCUUUUCAGCUUCAUUCUGAAAAACCCCAAACACAGAUAAACUGUGGCCGUCAAUGAAAACAUCUGUAAGUGUAGGAAAUGGUUUUGUUGCAAACGUUUUCUGUUGAUUGAGUUUAUAAAGAUUCUGAUCGAUUGGU